GACGGAGGAUGCAAGUGUUAUCCGGAAUCACUGGGCGUAAAGCGUCUGUAGGUGGUUUGCUAAGUCUGCUGUUAAAGCUUGAAGCUCAACUUCAAAAAUGCAACAGAAACUAGUAGACUUGAGUGUGGUAGGGGCAGAGGGAAUUUCCAGUGAAGUGGGGAAAUGCGUAGAUAUUGGAAAGACCGCCAAAGGCGAAGGCACUCUGCUGGGCCAUAACUGACACUGAGAGACGAAAGCUAGGGGAGCAAACGGG
rnacentral:rRNA from 1 species